AGUUGGUAAUUUCUCACAUCUUCAAGCCGACCUUCUACAUUCCUUUGGGCACUACUCUCUUCUAUAUAUGGAGGCUCAGAAGCAGUUUCAGCUUAUCCUCUACAUGUUCAUAUUCAACAGGAUCAGGUAAAGAUUCACUUUAAUUGGGACCAACAGAAAUGGUUGAUGGAAUUGCUACCAGAGCAAUGACGACAACUUCAAUUGAAGUGCGGCUGGAGAUGAUGAGGUGAUGACAGACUACCAACUAUGUGGAUUUUGAUUUAGGGAUAAAUAGAUUUUGAGGGUCUAGAUUUGGGAAAGAAGGGAAUUUUAAGCGUGUUUUUUAAGUUGAUUGUUCUUUUGUUUUUUUUUUUUUUUUUUUUUUUUUUUUAAAUGCCACGUCAUCUUGGGAACAACCCUAUUGUUUUCCCCGUCAAUGUAGCAUCAUUGAUCCCUAAAAUGGGGCUUACCUCUACAGAAGGGCCUCGUCACUAGAAAUGUGGGACUUAUUCACUUAAAUUUAUCAUCUUGACUUCCUAGCCUCA